UCCAAAAAAAACUCCAUUUUGGGAACUGCUCUUCGACUUUCCAGAAACCAUUUCCAUUUUCUAGAAACCAUUUUCUCUUCCUUUCACUUCACUCCCCACCACCGCCACUACCUCUUCCCCUUCAAGUUUCUAGAAACCCCACCCAUGGUCCCCAAAUCCGACCCCCCAAGCGUCUCCCGUCCGCCGCCGGUCAUUCCUUAGCUGAGUUUUUCGGCUGUAAGAUCUCUCUCUUCAUCUUCUUCUUUGUAAAAAUACUGUGUGUGGGUGAGGGUGAGGGUGAAUUUGGAGGGGUAAAAGAGUCCCAAAUCCCCCGGAUUUGCUAACGACAGGGGUAAAGCUCCGCUUGGCAAAUCCACCCAAAACACUGUUAGAGGUGGAUUUGUAGUCUCAACAGUGUUUUAAUCCAUCCUCCAAAAAAUAUGCAAUCAAAGACCGGAUAUGAGUGGGACCAGGAGAUGAAAUCCAGGCAGCUCCAUAUCCGGCAUCCAAACAGGGCCUAAAGCUCCGCUUGCCAAAUCCUCCGCUUGCCAAAUCCACCCAAAACACUGGAGGUGGUGGAUUUCUAGUCCAACAGUGUUUUAAUCCACCCUCCCAAAAAUGCAACCAAAGACCAGAUAUGAGUGGGAUCGGGAGAUGAAAUCCGGGCGGCUCCAUGGCCGGCCUCCAAAUCCGGCAUCCAAACAGGGCCUAAAAGGCAAACAAGAACCGAUACAAAACCUAAGCCAUUCAUGUGGCUCCUUAGCAUUCCUUUCUCUGUCUGGUGACCUGUUGCUCUGUCGAUUCACAGCGAUGGCGCCAAAUGAGACGGAAUGGACUCCUUGUAACGUCGAUGCUGAUCGUUGUUAUCUUGACAUGGAUUUGGAAGAUGAUAUCACCCAUUACAUCUCAUCGGAUAAUGCAGAAGGACUGAAGUCCUUGUUGUCACACCGAGAUGUAAGAAAUGGAACAUACAGUUAUUGCCGAACCACUCUGUUGCAGUCUCUGUGCCUUUUUAGUGCCCUGAAAUGUGCCACUGCGUUGGUGGAUGGGAAGUUAGGCGUAAGAGUAGAUGUAAAUAGGGACCAGCUGUUGCAUCAUUAUGCAGCUAGGUUUUCAUCUCCCGAAUUAGUUAAGUUAUUCCUUCGAUAUGGAGCUCGAACUGAUGUCCGAUACGCUAGAAAAGUUUGGUGGGGGCAAAGGAAUGCUCCCACUCAAUGGAAUGCUCCCGCUCGAUACAUCACUUUAUGCUGCGAGGGAGUUGGUGUACUCGUAUCAACAAGAGUCUCUUUUCAAGUGGAUAGUAUUUCUCUGUCUACCAUCUUUGAAACCGUCAUUGGUUGUUAAUAAAUUGUCGCAGAAACCGUCAAAUUCUGUCACUGAUUGAUGAGGAGGUCAAAUUAAUGAGAGAAUGUAAACAUGGGGAAUUAACUCAGAUUCAACAGAAGAUGAUGGGUGUGAGUUCGAGUCUGUUGCUUGAAGUUUUUGAUAGAGGUGGUCAUACUAUUGGAGAAUAGCUGCAGUCCCAACAGCCUGAUGAAAAACCCAUCAUGUUUCAAUUCUUCAACGGUUCGGAGUUUGCUGAACACGGCUGUCUCGUUUAGGGAGUUGAGGUGGCUGUCUCGAGGUUAAAUUUCUAGGUUUUAUUCUUCAUUGACCUCAGAAGAGAUAUUAGAAUAGAGAUUGAGAGAAUAAUUUGAUAGAGAUUAUUCGCUUAAACUUGAAAUUUUGUACAGCCAACAAAAGGCAGGAGAUGUUACUUUAAUAUCCGUUAAAGAGUUUUUUGAUAUUAUUUUUAAAA